GACCAGACUCCUACGGGAGGCAGCAGUGGGGAAUAUUGCACAAUGGGGGAAACCCUGAUGCAGCAACGCCGCGUGAGUGAAGAAGUAUUUCGGUAUGUAAAGCUCUAUCAGCAGGGAGGAAAAUGACGGUACCUGAGUAAGAAGCCCCGGCUAACUACGUGCCAGCAGCCGCGGUAAUACGUAGGGGGCAAGCGUUAUCCGGAUUUACUGGGUGUAAAGGGAGCGUAGACGGCGAUACAAGUCUGAAGUGAAAGCCCGGGGCUCAACCCCGGGACUGCUUUGGAAACUGUGUUGCUGGAGUGCUGGAGAGGCAAGCGGAAUUCCUAGUGUAGCGGUGAAAUGCGUAGAUAUUAGGAAGAACACCAGUGGCGAAGGCGGCCUACUGGACGGUGACUGACGCUGAGGCUCGAAAGCGUGGGGAGCAAACAGGAUUAGAUACCCGUGUAU
rnacentral:rRNA from 1 species